rnacentral:rRNA from 1 species
CCCUGCUACUGGACCUAGCGGCGGACGGGUGAGUAAUGCUUAGGAAUCUGCCUAUUAGUGGGGGACAACAUCUCGCAAGGGAUGCUAAUACCGCAUACGUCCUACGGGAGAAAGCAGGGGAUCUUCGGACCUUGCGCUAGUAGAUGAGCCUAAGUCGGAUUAGCUAGUUGGUGGGGUAAAGGCCUACCAAGGCGACGAUCUGUAGCGGGUCUGAGAGGAUGAUCCGCCACACUGGGACUGAGACACGGCCCAGACUCCUACGGGAGGCAGCAGUGGGGAAUAUUGGACAAUGGGGGGAACCCUGAUCCAGCCAUGCCGCGUGUGUGAAGAAGGCCUUAUGGUUGUAAAGCACUUUAAGCGAGGAGGAGGCUGCUUUAGUUAAUACCUAGAGAUAGUGGACGUUACUCGCAGAAUAAGCACCGGCUAACUCUGUGCCAGCAGCCGCGGUAAUACAGAGGGUGCGAGCGUUAAUCGGAUUUACUGGGCGUAAAGCGUGCGUAGGCGGCUUAUUAAGUCGGAUGUGAAAUCCCCGAGCUUAACUUGGGAAUUGCAUUCGAUACUGGUGAGCUAGAGUAUGGGAGAGGAUGGUAGAAUUCCAGGUGUAGCGGUGAAAUGCGUAGAGAUCUGGAGGAAUACCGAUGGCGAAGGCAGCCAUCUGGCCUAAUACUGACGCUGAGGUACGAAAGCAUGGGGAGCAAACAGGAUUAGAUACCCUGGUAGUCCAUGCCGUAAACGAUGUCUACUAGCCGUUGGGGCCUUUGAGGCUUUAGUGGCGCAGCUAACGCGAUAAGUAGACCGCCUGGGGAGUACGGUCGCAAGACUAAAACUCAAAUGAAUUGACGGGGGCCCGCACAAGCGGUGGAGCAUGUAGUUUAAUUCGAUGCAACGCGAAGAACCUUACCUGGCCUUGACAUACUAGAAACUUUCCAGAGAUGGAUUGGUGCCUUCGGGAAUCUAGAUACAGGUGCUGCAUGGCUGUCGUCAGCUCGUGUCGUGAGAUGUUGGGUUAAGUCCCGCAACGAGCGCAACCCAUUUCCUUACUUGCCAGCAUUUCGGAUGGGAACUUUAAGGAUACUGCCAGUGACAAACUGGAGGAAGGCGGGGACGACGUCAAGUCAUCAUGGCCCUUACGGCCAGGGCUACACACGUGCUACAAUGGUCGGUACAAAGGGUUGCUACACAGCGAUGUGAUGCUAAUCUCAAAAAGCCGAUCGUAGUCCGGAUUGGAGUCUGCAACUCGACUCCAUGAAGUCGGAAUCGAUAGUAAUCGCGGAUCAGAAUGCCGCGGUGAAUACGUUCCCGGGCCUUGUACACACCGCCCGUCACACCAUGGGAGUUUGUUGCACCAGAAGUAGCUAGCCUAACUGCAAAGAGGGCGGUUACCACGGUGUGGCCGAUGACUGGGGUGAAGUCGUAACAAGGUA